rnacentral:rRNA from 1 species
GUUGUAUGGUUAAGUGACUAAGCGUACACGGUGGAUGCCUUGGCAGUCAGAGGCGAUGAAGGACGUGCUACCCUGCGAAAAGGGUUGGUGAGCUGGGAUGGAGCGCUAUAGCCAACCAUGUCCGAAUGGGGAAACCCACCUAAGAUAACUUAGGUAUCGUUAAGUGAAUACAUAGCUUAACGAGGCGAACCGGGAGAACUGAAACAUCUAAGUACCCCGAGGAAAAGAAAUCAACCGAGAUUCCGUUAGUAGCGGCGAGCGAACGCGGAGCAGCCCAGAGUCUGAAUCAGUGGAUGCGUUAGUGGAACGGAUUGGAAAGUCCGGCGAUACAGGGUGAUAGCCCCGUACACGAAGACGCAUUGCUGUGAGCUCGAUGAGUAGGACGGGACACGUGGUAUCCUGUUUGAAGAUGGGGGGACCAUCCUCCAAGGCUAAAUACUCCUGACUGACCGAUAGCGAACCAGUACCGUGAGGGAAAGGCGAAAAGAACCCCUGUGAGGGGAGUGAAAUAGAACCUGAAACCGUGUACGUACAAGCAGUGGGAGCACCUUCGUGGUGUGACUGCGUACCUUUUGUAUAAUGGGUCAGCGACUUACAUUUUGUAGCGAGGUUAACCGAAUAGGGGAGCCGUAGGGAAACCGAGUCUUAAUAGGGCGAAUUAGUUGCAAGGUGUAGACCCGAAACCCGGUGAUCUAGCCAUGGGCAGGUUGAAGGUUGGGUAACACUAACUGGAGGACCGAACCGACUAAUGUUGAAAAAUUAGCGGAUGACUUGUGGCUGGGGGUGAAAGGCCAAUCAAACCGGGAGAUAGCUGGUUCUCCCCGAAAGCUAUUUAGGUAGCGCCUCGGACGAACACCUACGGGGGUAGAGCACUGUUAAGGCUAGGGGGUCAUCCCGACUUACCAACCCUUUGCAAACUCCGAAUACCGUAGAGUGCUAUCCGGGAGACACACGGCGGGUGCUAACGUCCGUCGUGAAGAGGGAAACAACCCAGACCGCCAGCUAAGGUCCCAAAGUCAUGGUUAAGUGGGAAACGAUGUGGGAAGGCUUAGACAGCUAGGAUGUUGGCUUAGAAGCAGCCAUCAUUUAAAGAAAGCGUAAUAGCUCACUAGUCGAGUCGGCCUGCGCGGAAGAUGUAACGGGGCUAAACCAUGCACCGAAGCUGCGGCAAUGACACUUAGGUGUUAUUGGGUAGGGGAGCGUUCUGUAAGCGGUUGAAGGUGUACUGUGAGGUAUGCUGGACGUAUCAGAAGUGCGAAUGCUGACAUAAGUAACGAUAAAGCGGGUGAAAAGCCCGCUCGCCGGAAGACCAAGGGUUCCUGUUCAACGUUAAUCGGAGCAGGGUGAGUCGACCCCUAAGGCGAGGCUGAAAAGCGUAGUCGAUGGGAAACGGGUUAAUAUUCCCGUACUUGUGGUAACUGCGAAGGGGGGACGGAGAAAGUUAGGCUAUCCGGGCGACGGUUGUCCCGGUUUAAGCGUGAAGGUGGAGAGACUAGGCAAAUCCGGUCUUUCAUUAACACUGAGGCGUGAUGACGAAGCACUACGGUGCUGAAGUAGCUGAUACUACGCUUCCAGGAAAAGCCUCUAAGCAUCAGGUUACCAGAAAUCGUACCCCAAACCGACACAGGUGGUCAGGUAGAGAAUACUCAGGCGCUUGAGAGAACUCGGGUGAAGGAACUAGGCAAAAUGGUGCCGUAACUUCGGGAGAAGGCACGCUGA